GUUCCUUCGUAUCUGACUGCUCACUGAAUAUUUUUAAGAGCCGCGGUAUUUUGACCGUGCAAAGGUAGCGUAAUCGUUAGUUUCUUAAUUGGAAUCCUGUAUGAAUGGUUAGAUAAAAGAAAUUCUGUCUUUAUAUUAAAAAUUGAAUUUAACUUUUGAGUGAAAAGGCUUAAAUUUAUUAAAAAGACGAUAAGACCCUAUAAAGCUUAACUUUUAUAAUUUUUUUAUAAGAAUUAAUUUGUAUAAAAGUUAAAAUAAUUAAAUUUGUUUUAUUGGGGUGAUAAAAGUAAAAUGGUUUUUAACUGCUUAAGUUUAGUUUCAUAAAUAUAUGAUUGAUAUGUAAAUGAUCCUUUUUAAAGAUUCAAAGUUCAAGUUACUUUAGGGAUAACAGCGUUAUUUUUUUUGAGAGUACAAAUCGAAAAAAAAGUUUGCGACCUCGAUGUUGAAUUAAAAUUCCUUUACAGAUGUAAAAACUGUAAAAGUUGGUCUGUUCGACCUUUAAAAUUUUACGUGAUCUGAGUUCAGACCGGAAGUUUAAGAAUUUUCCCUCGGCUGGCC
rnacentral:rRNA from 1 species